rnacentral:rRNA from 1 species
AGAGUUUGAUCAUGGCUCAGAUUGAACGCUGGCGGCAGGCCUAACACAUGCAAGUCGAACGGUAGCACAGAGAGCUUGCUCUCGGGUGACGAGUGGCGGACGGGUGAGUAAUGUCUGGGAAACUGCCUGAUGGAGGGGGAUAACUACUGGAAACGGUAGCUAAUACCGCAUAACGUCGCAAGACCAAAGAGGGGGACCUUCGGGCCUCUUGCCAUCAGAUGUGCCCAGAUGGGAUUAGCUAGUAGGUGGGGUAACGGCUCACCUAGGCGACGAUCCCUAGCUGGUCUGAGAGGAUGACCAGCCACACUGGAACUGAGACACGGUCCAGACUCCUACGGGAGGCAGCAGUGGGGAAUAUUGCACAAUGGGCGCAAGCCUGAUGCANCCAUGCCGCGUGUAUGNANAAGGCCUUCGGGUUGUAAAGUACUUUCAGCGGGGAGGAAGGUGUUGAGGUUAAUAACCUCANNAAUUGACGGGAANUCAAAGGNGNNNNNCAGNGAUAAACUGGAGGAAGGUGGGGANGANGNCAAGUCAUCAUGGCCCUUACGAGUNGGGCUACACACGUGCUACAAUGGCAUAUACAAAGAGAAGCGACCUCGCGAGAGCAAGCGGACCUCAUAAAGUAUGUCGUAGUCCGGAUCGGAGUCUGCAACUCGACUCCGUGAAGUCGGAAUCGCUAGUAAUCGUGGAUCAGAAUGCCACGGUGAAUACGUUCCCGGGCCUUGUACACACCGCCCGUCACACCAUGGGAGUGGGUUGCAAAAGAAGUAGGUAGCUUAACCUUCGGGAGGGCGCUUACCACUUUGUGAUUCAUGACUGGGGUGAAGUCGUAACAAANNUAACC